AUGCAUAUAGAAAAAAGUACUUAUUUUCCUUACAAUAUUUUGAUUAUACAACACAUUUCAAACAGCCUACCAAGACUACUAAAUUUCAAUACAAAAUUAUUUUGGCGCAUGUUACUUAUUUCAAAACAAAGACAAAAAUAUUUAUUUAACUUAAUAGGAAAAUACUUGACUAAUCUAGCAGCACAAACAGUAAAUCUACUAUAUCCUCCGAAGCGAUACAAAAUUUUAAACGAGAUUUACUUAUUGAUCAAAAUAAUUAUAAGCAACAAAGCAUAUCAUGUCAAGUAUUGGUGUUUCUUAUCUAUACCAAUAUAA
rnacentral:rRNA from 1 species